CUGAAAUUACGCCUGCAUGAAGCCGGAAUUGCUAGUAAUGGCAGGUCAGCAUACUGCCGUGAAUACGUUCCCGGGCCUUGUACACACCGCCCGUCACACCAUGAGAGUUGGGGAUACCCAAAGCCCGUGAGCCAACAUUAAAUGAGGCAGCGGUCUAAGGUAGAAUCAAUGAUUGGGGUGAAGUCGUAACAAGGUAAC
rnacentral:rRNA from 1 species